rnacentral:rRNA from 1 species
AUGCGUUCAGAAGAUUUGCAACACAUUGCAAAUAACCUGCCAGAUUCAUUUACUGACUAUAAAGGUGUCACACAAUCCUACAAUCCUACAAAAGUACGCCUGAAAGAGUGGAGGUACGAACAAAAUCCACUCCACUCCCCGUUCAAAGCAACAGGGGGAGAUGUAUGGCAGAAGUACGUCGGGAUUCAGCUUAUCACAAGCAAGGAUAUCAAGGCCUGUGAAUCAGUAAAUGCAAGUCAACUUCAUGUUGGCAGACACCUAAUGGGUAGUAUACACCCAGUGGACGGGAAACCUCCCCCAACCCAGGUCAUAGUGCACACAAUGACCGGGACAUCGAAAUACCCGACUCAAUCGCAUUGGGAAAUUGCGAGCAGUCACCAUGGGUAA